rnacentral:ncRNA from 2 species
CCAUGAAGUCGGAAUCGCUAGUAAUCGUAGAUCAGAAUGCUACGGUGAAUACGUUCCCGGGCCUUGUACACACCGCCCGUCACACCAUGGGAGUGGGUUGCAAAAGAAGUAGGUAGCUUAACCUUCGGGAGGGCGCUUACCACUUUGUGAUUCAUGACUGGGGUGAAGUCGUAACAAGGUAACCGUAGGGGAACCUGCGGUUGGAUCACCUCCUUA